AGUUCGUCCGGGGCAACUUCUGCCUCUCAGGCUGGUUGCAGCCGGCGCCCCGGGCCAGCGCAGCCUGGGCCCCAGCCAUCCUGCCCCCUCUCCGGCCGGGAGAAGCGGGCGCUGGGCUCUGGGGCUCCCUGAGCCCGCGGAGGCCAGCGCCCAGGGCGCACAAGAAGAGCAGGGGUGGAAGAAGAAAGGAAUUUCAAGGAGGGCAUUGCUUAAAGGGACGUUUGGACAGAGCCAGUUUCGGUGCUGGGCCGCAGCUCAGUGCCUAAUUUUAAUCUCAGGACUGCAGCCUGCGACCCGUGGACGAAUCACGAUGGAGUGCAGCUUGACUUCUGGAAAGAUGGGCUUCUGGCUGUGAAUAUUACCAGAGUUUCAACAUGGUGGUUAUUUUGGGAUGUACGGUGCUGGUCCCUGGGCCGUUUCUCUCCAGAGAUCUCCUCCAUAACCCCCUGCUUCCCUCCCGUGUUAGACUCUACUGAACCGAGUGACAAGGAACCCACCCAAAUCCAGGUCUCCUCAAACUUCUUCCCUCACACCCGAGUCUCUUCCUCCCUAGGAGUCUCCUGGUGCAUGGAACUGACCUGAAACUGGGGUUCCCCAAAGCCUCUGCCUGCCUUCUGCAGCUGAGCUGCUUCAGCCUCUCUGGGACACCCAUUUGAAGGAACCUGUCCAAAUCCAUGUAAGAGAUCUUGUAUUUUUUCCCUCCCAGCUGAGACUUCCUCCUCUGCCAGACACCUGUUCCAAGGAAGCUCCUGCAACUAGGGUGUGGGCUUGUGUCGUGAAGGUUGAGUAUCCAGGGUGACAGUGAAGAAUCCAUACUCCCACCCAAGAGUGGAUUUCAGUGCUGAGAGGAAGAGGAGGAAGACAUCUUGCUGGCUUGUGCCCCAGGUCUGUGCAGACCAGAGUUUUGCUGUGGGAGGCAGAGGAAGGGCUGAGAGUCGCUGUUAGAGCACAUGUCCACCAGAGGGCACCAGAGCCCCCCAUCGCCUCUCUGCAGCUCCCUGUUUGUAUCUCCAGGCUCAGAAGGGGUUGGAAGAGGGACCCAUGGAACCUCAGGGAGGGGCCCAGAGCCCGGUGUUGGUUUGCAUGGUGCCUCUGACACUGUGGCCCCAUUUGUCUCAAUGCAGGGAGGGGACAGAUUUCUGCCAUUAAAUAUCUAAUUCAGUUCCUAUCUGGUCGGGUGGCCCCAAAUUUAGGGAGUUUGAUAGGCUAUCGGUCUGUAUGUCCUUUACUUGUUUGGAAGCAGAACUCUGGACCCAGAAACACCUGGCUUCAAUGGUGGAUGUUCAGUUUUCUAGAAUCAGCCUGGUGGGGAGUUCGGCUUCUGGAAAGCUGGGCUUCGGUGAUGAAUGGGGUGUGUCUGUGCUGUUGUAUUUUGGGGGUGUGUGGGCUAUGCACACGGCUGGGCUCUUUUACUCCAGAGAUGCCCACAACUCAUAUUCCUGCUGCCCCUGAGCCACUUCCACCUCUGCGUGACACCCGUUUGAAGGAAGCUCUCUCCAUCCAUGUAAGUGAAUCACGACUGGGUUGUUUAGUGUUCCAAGGUGAGCCUGGGAUAGGUAGGCUGCUCAUUCAAAGCCUGCUGGCCUGACUUAAAUAGGAGGGUGCUGAUUUUAGGGAGUGGAUAAAUGUGGGCGGGGUGAGGGGCCUGGCUGACGGUGAGACAGUCCCUCCCCACCCGUCAUGCGUCUGAGUGUGCUGAGAGGGAGAGCAGUAAGGAAGCCACCUGACAGCUGCCCCAGGCCUGGGCAGAGCGGGUUCCUCUGUGGGAGGCAGAGGAAAGGCUGAGACUUGCUGUGAGGGCCUCUGUCCACCAGCCUGAGCCGGAGCAAUAGCAGAGCUUCCUCUGACCCCCACCUACUCUCACCACCGUGACCACAUCACCAGGCUCAGAUUCAGGGUGCAAAAGGCUUGCCGGAGGCCCAAGGAGGUACACAGACCUUUGCACUUGGGUACUUGGUGACUCUUAUGCUGUGGCCUCAGUUGGGGUGAGAGCCCUGGGUGCCUCGACUCAGAGAAAGAUUAAGGUUCUUCCCCCACAUUUCAGGUUCAAUCUGUGCAUGAUCAGGUGGCCCAAUGGCAGGAGGUUUGACAGGCAGCCUUGGGCCUGAGUGCCCUUUGCUAGUUUGAAGAACAUCACUGGACCCAGAAACCCCUGCCUUAAAUCCUGAAUGUACAAUGCUGUAAACCAGCCUGGGGUGAUAUUUGGCUUCUGGAAAGCUGGCUUUUGGUCAUGAAUGCAGCGCAUCCAGGAGGUGGUGUUGCAGUGGGCGGGUCUCAGCCUCUCCCUGUGCCUUUCUCUCUCUCUCUCUCUCUAGAGAUCUCCACCUCCUCCUUCUUCCUGCUCCACCUGAGCCUCUUCCUCCUCUGCCGGGGAGCCUAUGCCCAGGAACCUACCUCCAUCCAGGGAACAUGAAUGAUGCCUGGGAGGUCCUGGGUCUCAAGCUGGGUUCAGGGCCGAUGGGUGCUCUUUGAUGGCCAGCUGCUUCUGUUAACUUAUCCAGUGAGGUGUCUGAUUUCAGGGAGUGGGGUGGUCUCAGUUGGGGUGAGGGCCCUGGGUGACUUUGAGAUAGUCCCACCCCACCCAUCAUGCCUUUCAGUGCACUGUGAGGGAGAAAACUUAGGAAAUCAGGCUGGCAAGAGGCCUAGGCCAGUGUAGCCAGGGUUUUGAUCUGGGAGGCCAAGGAAGGGCUGAGAGUUGCUGUUAGAGAAGAUGGCCACCAGAUGGCACCAGAGCACCAGAGUGCCCCCCUCUUGCCCCUGGAGCUAUGCGCCUUCACCUUCAAGACUUGAGAUGGGUCCUUGGUCCAGUGGGCCAAUGGCUAGAGAGUUCGACAGGCUAACUUGGUCAGAGUCCCCUUGAUGGUUUGGAGGCACAACCCUGGACCUAGAAAUACCUGGCCUGGAUUUUAGCCCUAAAACUUGCUAGAGUCAGGCUGGUCCAUGUAGAAUUGUACCCCUAGAAAGGUGGCCUUCCGGUUGUGAAUGCACUGUGUCAGUACAGGGGUUUCUCUAGAGAGAGAUCUCCUCAAGCUUUUUCUUCCCUCCCACUUGAUGCUCUCCCUCCUCGGCCAGACACCUGCUGCAGGGAAGCUACCUCAAGCCAGGUAACUUUUAUAAAGGCUUGAUGGUCCUUGGGUCCCAGAGUUCAGUGGUGCUGAUUGAUUAGGGGCCUGUUCACGUACGUUACAAUGUGGGGUCACUGAUUUCAGGGUGUGGCUUGAGUCCUGGCUGAGUCUAAGAUUGUCAUGCUCUAGCCCGUCGUGUGUUGCUGUAUGCCGAGAUGGAGGGCAGCAAGGAAGCCACCACGGACACUGCCCCAGGCCACCGCAGCGCAGAGGUUGGCUGUUGGAGGCUGAGUCAGUGUCCGAGUUGCUGUUGGAGCACAUUCUGGUCAAAGAGCCCUAGGAACCCAAGGGGCCUCCUCUCCUUCAGGCUGAAAUACCUGGCUGCUGCUGGGGUGGGGGGACCCCAUGGCAGUGCUCAGUGCUGAGCUGUGGCUACUGGGCACCUCUUCUCAUCUGGCCAUUUUUUUUUCACCUCAUCGUGUCCACAUAAACCUGUGAUCACAUCUUUAUUUCAAAUUCAGCAUGCUUCUCUGGGAAAAUGGCCAGAAACUUGGCAGACUCUCUGGGCUCCGUGUGAGGGGACAGGCACAUCCCUGGCUUGAAUCCCGAAUGGGCAGUUUUCUGAAACCAGGCUGACAUCCCCUCCUCUCCUGCUGUGUUGUUCAGUUCUCUGAGAGGAAGAGGACGAUGACACUGGUCCAUGCCCAAGACCAGCGCUUAAAACGACAAGCCCAGUGUUUACCACGGUUGUUUCUGGGCCCAAAGGUCUGCCUCUGGAGAAACAGGGCAAGCUGGCCCAUGGAACAUGUCACACUCUUGCAACCGGGGCACCUGAUCAGGCUGGAUGUGCCCAUCAGAUGCUGAAGGCACAGCUGCGUCCCUGCCCUGAGGUGAGUCCAUUUGGCCAGAGCAGGAGCGGUGCCCUGUCUCCAACCCAAAUCCAUAAGCAUGUUCUGAGUGUUCCAACUCUUUCUUCAACUCCAUCCCUGAGCCCGGAGUCUCAGCCAGGCGUCUGCCAGGGGCUCUGCCUGGGCUGGGGUUCAGCCUGGUGACCUUCAGUCUAACACCACCUCUCAGCCCUUCCUCCUGUUUCUCAGGAGCCCUAGAAGCUACCCUGGCCUGGGGCCCGGGAAGCUCCAUUUUGUUUCUCCUCAGCUGGGGAGCUGAACGAAUGCCCUCGACACUGGGGUCUUUCUCUCUCAGUCCCCCAGAGCGCUCACCCCAACUUACCCCGCCUCAGUACAUAAAAACCUCUGCAUCCCCCCCAUGGGUACCGAGAGCCUCCUUUAAAUCAGUCCCAGCUGCCUUCCCGCUCAGGACCUUCCCCUAGUUCUGCUCCUUGAAACCGCGAUUGCAGACAGGACAUAGAGGUUCAGAGGGAAGGGGAACAAAGACAUUUGGGGAGAACUCCUGAAAGAUAAAGCCCAGGGAAUCCUGUCUGGCCCCCCAAAUAGCACCACUUUUACAAGCUCCAUUCACGACCACUGGCCCCUUUGGACACGUGAUGCCUUUACAGAGGCUGCAGGUUUGGUAGUUUCAAGGCGAAGAUUCAAGACAGAUAUUGGGGGUCCAGUGUCCUUGCCCCUUGAGAAACAAAAAGCAAACCAACCCCAGAGAACACGUCCACCUCUCUGGCCCCUGGGCAACCAGAGCUGGAUGGACCUACCCAUCAGAUGCAGAAGACACACAUCUUUCUGUUCCCCGAGGUCAGUCAAUUUGUGCCAGAGAGUCAUCUUAACACAUCCUAGGGCUCCCACUAACCCCUCUUGGCACCACCUCGUAGCCUGGAGGUGCAGCCAGGGGGCUUCAGAUGGGCUUUGUCUGUGCUCUGGCCCCUCCCGGAGGUCAUCUCCCCUACCACUGACUCUCAGCCUUUCCUCCGGUUUCCCUCAGCGGCCCCCCAGGGCUCUCCUGGCCUUGGGCAGCUGCCAGCUUGAUGGAAUUCCUCCUCACCUUCUAAGCCCAGUGAAGUGCCCAGAGAGAGGGGUAGAUUCUCAAAGACUCCCAGCACGCACCCCCCACCCCAACGUAAGGCCUUCAACCCUCUGUUUUCUCCACCCACAUGUGCCAUGAGAGCAUCCUUUCAAUCGAUUACCCUACUUUACCUCCUGAGAGCCACCUUUAAGUCUGCUCCCUGAACAGGGGUUGGGGACAGGAAGACAAGGCCCCAAGGGAAAGAGAGGAGGGAGUUAGGGGAGGGGUCUGGAAGCACAAAUCCUAGCGAAUUGCACAGUCGCCCAAUCAAAGCAGCACCCCUUUCACGUGCUCCAUUCACGACCACCACCCCUUUUGUCAGCUGACAACCACAUGGAGUGGG
rnacentral:lncRNA from 1 species